AGCGAACGCUGGCGGCAGGCCUAUCACAUGCAAGUCGAGCGCCGUAGCAAUACGGAGCGGCAGACGGGAGAGUAACACGUGGGAACGUACCCUUCAGUACGGAACAAACAAGGGAAACUUUGGCUAAUACCGUAUACGUCCGCAAGGAGAAAGAUUUAUCGCUGAAGCAUCGGCCCGCGUCUGAUUAGCUUGUUGGUGAAGUAACGGCUCACCAAUGACACGAUCAGUAGCUGGUCUGAGAGGAUGAUCAGCCUCACUGGGACUGAGACACGGACCAGCCUCCUACGGGGGGCAGCAGUGGGGAAUAUUGGACAAUGGGCGCAAGCCUGAUCCAGCCAUGCCGCGUGGGUGAUGAAGGCCCUAGGGUUGUAAAGCCCUUUCGGCGGGGAAGAUAAUGACGGUACCCGCAGAAGAAGCCCCGGCUAACUUCGUGCCAGCCGCCGCAGUAACAC
rnacentral:rRNA from 1 species